GAUGAACGCUAGCUACAGGCUUAACACAUGCAAGUCGAGGGGAAACGGCAUCGAAAGCUUGCUUUUGAUGGGCGUCGACCGGCGCACGGGUGAGUAACGCGUAUCCAACCUGCCCAUCACUUGGGAAUAACCUUGCGAAAGUAAGACUAAUGCCCAAUGACAUCCCACGAAGGCAUCCGAAUGGGAUUAAAGAUUUAUCGGUGAUGGAUGGGGAUGCGUCUGAUUAGCUUGUUGGCGGGGUGACGGCCCACCAAGGCAACGAUCAGUAGGGGUUCUGAGAGCAAGGUCCCGCACAAUGGAACUGAGAUACGGUCCAAACGCGUACGGGAGGCAGCAGUGAGGAAGAUUGGUGAAUGGGCGAGAGCCUGAACCAGCCAAGUAGCGUGCAGGAUGACGGCCGUGUGAGUUGUAAGCUGCUUUUAUGAGGGGAUGAAGUGGGGCAUGUGCGACUUUUUGCAUGUACCUUAUGAAUAAGGACCGGCUAAUUCCGUG
rnacentral:rRNA from 1 species